rnacentral:rRNA from 1 species
UGAGGAAUAUUGGUCAAUGGGCGCGAGCCUGAACCAGCCAAGUCGCGUGAGGGAAGACGGUCCUAUGGAUUGUAAACCUCUUUUGUCGGGGAGCAAAAGACGUCACGUGUGGCGUUCCGAGAGUACCCGAAGAAAAAGCAUCGGCUAACUCCGUGCCAGCAGCCGCGGUAAUACGGAGGAUGCGAGCGUUAUCCGGAUUUAUUGGGUUUAAAGGGUGCGUAGGCGGAACGCCAAGUCAGCGGUAAAAUUUCGGGGCUCAACCCCGUCGUGCCGUUGAAACUGGUGUCCUUGAGUGGGCGAGAAGUAUGCGGAAUGCGUGGUGUAGCGGUGAAAUGCAUAGAUAUCACGCAGAACUCCGAUUGCGAAGGCAGCAUACCGGCGCUCAACUGACGCUCAUGCACGAAAGUGUGGGUAUCGAACAGG